rnacentral:rRNA from 1 species
UACAGAGGUGGCAAGCGUUGUUCGGAUUUACUGGGCGUAAAGGGUGCGUAGGUGGUUCUGUGUGUCGGACGUGAAAUCCCACCGCUUAACGGUGGAACUGCAUUCGAAACUGCAGGACUUGAGUACAGGAGGGGAGAGCGGAAUUCCUGGUGUAGCGGUGAAAUGCGUUGAUAUCAGGAGGAACACCGGUGGCGAAGGCGGCUCUCUGGAAUGUUACUGACACUGAGGCACGAGAGCUGGGGGAG